UACAUGUGGGGCAAGCGUUGUUCGGAAUUACUGGGCCUAAAGGGUGCGUAGGUGGUUUGUUAAGUCAGGGGUGAAAUCCCGCGGCCCAACCGUGGAACUGCCUUUGAUACUGGCGAACUUGAGUGCGUGAGGGGUAGGGGGAACGAGCAGUGUAGCGGUGAAAUGCGUAGAUAUUGCUCGGAAGGCCAGAGCCGAAGGGGCCCUACUGGUGCGCAACUGACACUGAGGCACGAAAGCGUGGGGAGCAAACAGG
rnacentral:rRNA from 1 species